CAGUUAGAAGUUACUCAAGACUUGAGCCAAGAAUGGAUAACUAAGUUGGGGCUCUGAAAUUCUCAAAGAUCUUUAGAGAAAAGCCAGAAAUCAUUUUGACUGGGGCUUCUGUGCUUUUGCCAGACCUCCAGCCCUCUUGGGACUUAAGCUGACAUGAAAUUGUCGUUGCAAUGCUU